UACGUAGGGGGCAAGCGUUGUCCGGAUUUAUUGGGCGUAAAGAGCUCGUAGGCGGUUUGUCGCGUCUGCCGUGAAAGUCCGGGGCUCAACUCCGGAUCUGCGGUGGGUACGGGCAGACUAGAGUGAUGUAGGGGAGACUGGAAUUCCUGGUGUAGCGGUGAAAUGCGCAGAUAUCAGGAGGAACACCGGUGGCGAAGGCGGGUCUCUGGGCCGAUACUGACGCUGAGGAGCGAAAGCAUGGGUAGCGAACAGG
rnacentral:rRNA from 1 species